rnacentral:lncRNA from 1 species
CAACGUUCAUUUCUUCUUCUGAGCAGCCUUGGUGACCUUAGCACCAGUUGGGUCCUUCUUGUCAACGUUCUUGAUAACACCAACAGCAACAGUUUGACGCAUGUCCCUCACAGCAAAACGUCCCAAUGGUGGGUACUCAGAGAAGGUCUCAACAACCAUGGGCUUGGUGGGAAUCAUCUUAACCAUACCGGCAUCACCAUUCUUCAAGAACUUGGGCUCCUUCUCAAUCUCCUUACCAGAACGCCUGUCAAUCUUGGUCAAAAUUUCUGCAAACUUGACAGCAAUGUGGGAGGUGUGGCAGUCAAGAACUGGAGCAUAUCCAUUUCCAAUCUGUCCUGGAUGGUUCAUGAUGAUGACUUGGGAGGUAAAGCUGGAAGCACCCUUAGCUGGGUCAUCCUUGGAGUUGGAAGCAACAAACCCACGCUUGAGAUCCUUAACCGCAACAUUCUUGACAUUAAAUCCAACAUUGUCACCAGGAAGUGCCUCCUGAAGAGCUUCGUGGUGCAUCUCAACAGAUUUAACUUCAGUGGUCAGACCAGUGGGACCAAAAGUAACAACCAUACCAGGCUUGAGGACACCAGUUUCCACACGACCAACAGGGACAGUACCAAUUCCACCAAUCUUGUAAACAUCCUGAAGUGGGAGCCUGAGAGGCUUGUCUGUGGGCCUCUUGGGCUCAUUAAUCUGGUCAAGAGCAUCAAGAAGUGUUGGGCC